rnacentral:misc_RNA from 1 species
CAACCAUCAAGCCCCCGGGCUUGUGUUGGGGACCUGCGGCUGCCGCAGGCCCUGAAAACCAGUGGCGGGCUCGCUAGUCACUCCGAGCGUAGUAGUUACAUCUCGCUCAGGGCGUGCUGCGGGUUCCGGCCGUUAAACGCCUUUUACCCCAA